GAAUGAUGUAGUUUCGAUGUCAGCCUUUGGGCAGAAGUUCAGCGAGGGAGAGAGUGGGAGGCAGUUGAGGAGGUUAAUGAAAGAGUUUGUGAGUGUAUUAGGUGGAUUUGAUAUUGGAACCUACAUUCCACGGCUUGCAUGGUUUAGUAGUUUAUUGGGUAUCUACAAUAAAGCGGAUGCUGUUGCUAAAGAGUUUGAUGAAUUUCUUGAAAGAAUAGUUGAUGAACAUGUUGAUACUACGAAAAGAGAAAGAGCUGAAGGCGCAGAGGAUUUUGUAGAUGUUUUGCUUGAGAUUUACAAGGAUAAGAGCAUCACCGGCUAUUCCAUUGAUAGAGAGAGCAUCAAAGCUAUUGUAUUGGUAAUCACUAAUCUCUCUACCAAAGUGCUAGAUGUAUAUGCUUAAUUGACUAACUCUUUAUAUACUAAUUGUACUUUAUUAUUGCUUGUUCAGGAUGUUCUAGCAGCAGGAACUGAUACUACCUACACAGUUCUAGAAUGGGCGAUGACAGAACUGCUAAGGCACCCCCAGGUCAUGGCGAAACUGCAAAAUGAGUUGAGAUCGACUGGCAGAAAGAGAUCUGACAUUAUUGUUCCAGAUGAGUAUGAGAAGAUUCCUUAUUUGGAAGCAGUGAUUAAAGAAACUCUCCGUGUACAUCCUCCAGUCCCAUUAUUAGUUCCACGAGAAGCAAGAAAUGAUGUUAACAUCAUGGGCUAUGAGAUUGUUGCCAAAACCAUGGUUAUUGUGAAUGCCUGGGCAAUCGGAAGAGACCCUACUUUGUGGGAUGAACCAGAUGAGUUUAGGCCAGAGAGGUUCCUGAAUUCUUCUGUAGAUAUCAGAGGCCACGACUUCCAGCUCAUCCCAUUUGGAGUUGGAAGGAGAAGCUGCCCUGGGAUCUCUUUUGCUAUGGUCACUAAUGAGAUAGCACUGGCAAAUCUUCUGCACAAGUUUAACUGGGAACUACCCAAUGGAAUGAAGAGGGGGGAUUUGGACAUGACUGAGACUACUGGUUCGACGAUUCAUAAGAAAGAACCUCUUCUUGCUAUCGCGACUCCAUAUUCUGUCUGACCCGAGCCAAAUCAUAACAUCCUAGAUAUUGAUUAUACACGACCCUAUCUUCCAAAGCUAAACACUAUCUUUUUGUAAUUUUGUACUUCUUUAUGUUUUCUAAUGAUCAUCUUACUAGUAUUGAUGUCUCUACUGAAACUAUCCCUUAACUACAGCAGACACUUCUCUACGACCAGAUACACGAAGCAUUUUUUUUAGAUCGGUGCCUUGAGCAUCAGGUAUAGUAUCAGUGAUUACCUCUGUCUAGUUUGUUAGUUGUCAACGAUGAACUCCUAAGUUUCCUACAAAUAUCUAGUGCUUAAAGAGUAUGAAGCCAAAGCCAGGACCAGACAGUAGGUUUUGCAGACAACCCGGAGUUGAAUGGCUUGUGCAUUUUAAGUAUGGUUGCUUUCGUGCUGCCCCACUUGCUUUUUUAUGGUGUAUAUCUUAUCAAAUAUCGUCACAAACGAACAUUUUUCCAAGUGGUGGCAAUAAUUGGGAUAAACACAAUUUGUAAGCCUUAUAUACACUAUUUCGGACCCACUUAAUUCGCGAUCCUGGUUCAGCCGCUACAGUCGUAACUAGUUAUUUAUUAUCUGCAUUCUUGAACAGAAAACGCUGCAAGGAGGUCAGAGGAGAAGAGUCACAAAAUUGUUGAAAAAUGGCUGAUCAUUUAGGGCAACCAGCAAAUUCACCAUUAUUACACCCUUUUGUUCUCUCGCUUAUAUCCUUAGCUUUAGCAAUCUUACUCGUGAAACGCCUCUUUGCAGCUUCAGUUAGCCGCCAAAAACUACCACCUUCUCCAUCGAAACUCCCAGUCAUCGGACACUUGCAUAAAUUAGGCAAGUAUCCACAUCUCUCGCUCCAAAGGUUGUCACGGAAACAUGGACCACUCAUGCUGCUACGCCUUGGUAGCGUACCAACACUCAUUGUCUCCUCUGCUGAGGCAGCUCAGGAGGUCAUGAAAACUCAUGACUUAGCAUUUGCAGAUAGGCCUAGAUCAAAGAUUAACGAAAAGCUUUUUUAUAACUUUAAGGAUGUAGCGUCUGCGCCUUAUGGAGAAUACUGGAGGCAUAUGAGAAGUCUAUGUGUCAUCCAGCUUUUGAGUAACAAGAGAGUUCACGAUACUAGGAGAGUGAGAGAGAAUGAAACAGCCCUCCUGGUGAAGAAGAUUGUUGAUUCCUCCCCUUCCGUAGUAGACCUGAGCGAUUUGUUGAUGGCUUACACAAAUGAUAUAGUUUCGAUGUCAGCCUUUGGGCAGAAGUUCAGUGAGGGAGAGAGUGGGAGGCAGUUAAGGAGGUUAAUGAAAGAGUUUGUGAGUGUAUUGGGUGGAUUUGACAUUGGAACCUACAUCCCGCGGCUUGCAUGGUUUAGUAGUUUAUUGGGUCUCUACAAUAAAGCGGAUGCAGUUGCUAAAGAGUUUGAUGAAUUUCUUGAAAGAAUAGUUGAUGAACAUGUUAAUUCUUCG
rnacentral:lncRNA from 1 species